rnacentral:rRNA from 1 species
AGUGAACGCUGGCGGUAGGCCUAACACAUGCAAGUCGAACGGCAGCACAGUAAGAGCUUGCUCUUACGGGUGGCGAGUGGCGGACGGGUGAGGAAUACAUCGGAAUCUACUUUUUCGUGGGGGAUAACGUAGGGAAACUUACGCUAAUACCGCAUACGACCUACGGGUGAAAGCAGGGGAUCUUCGGACCUUGCGCGAUUGAAUGAGCCGAUGUCGGAUUAGCUAGUUGGCGGGGUAAGGCCCACCAAGGCGACGAUCCGUAGCUGGUCUGAGAGGAUGAUCGGCCACACGGGAACUGAGACACGGUCCAGACUCCUACGGGAGGCAGCAGUGGGGAAUAUUGGACAAUGGGCGCAAGCCUGAUCCAGCCAUACCGCGUGGGUGAAGAAGGCCUUCGGGUUGUAAAGCCCUUUUGUUGGGAAAGAAAAGCAGCAGGUUAAUACCCCGCUGUUCUGACGGUACCCAAAGAAUAAGCACCGGCUAACUUCGUG